rnacentral:rRNA from 1 species
GAUGAACGCUGGCGGCGUGCCUAAUACAUGCAAGUCGAGCGAACAGACGAGGAGCUUGCUCCUCUGACGUUAGCGGCGGACGGGUGAGUGACACGUGGAUAACCUACCUAUAAUACUGGGAUAACUUCGGGAAACCGGAGCUAAUACCGGAUAAUAUAUUGAACCGCAUGGUUCAAUAGUGAAAGACGGUUUUGCUGUCACUUAUAGAUGGAUCCGCGCCGCAUUAGCUAGUUGGUAAGGUAACUGCUUACCAAGGCAACGAUACGUAGCCGACCUGAGACGAUGAGCAGCCACACUGGAACUGAGACACGGUCGAGACUCCUAGGGGAGGCAGCAGUCGGGAAUAUGGGACAAUGGGCGCAAGCCGGAUCCAGCCAUACCGAGUGAGAGAAGAAGGCCUUAGGGUUGUAAAGCCCUUUUGUUGAGAAAGAAAAGCAGCAGGUUAAUACCCCGCGGUACGGACGGUACCCAAAUAAUAAGUACCGGCUAACUUCGUG